UUGGGGGCUCGAAGACGAUCA
rnacentral:siRNA from 1 species